CUUGUACACACCGCCCGUCACACCAUGGGAGCGGGUUCUGCCAGAAGUAGUUAGCCUAACCGCAAGGAGGGCGAUUACCACGGCAGGGUUCGUCGACUCGGGGUG
rnacentral:rRNA from 1 species